UACGAAGGGGGCUAGCGUUGCUCGGAAUCACUGGGCGUAAAGCGCACGUAGGCGGAUUGCUAAGUCAGGGGUGAAAUCCUGGAGCUCAACUCCAGAACUGCCCUUGAUACUGGCGGUCUCGAGUCCGGGAGAGGUGAGUGGAACUGCGAGUGUAGAGGUGAAAUUCGUAGAUAUUCGCAAGAACACCAGUGGCGAAGGCGGCUCACUGGCCCGGUACUGACGCUCAGGCACGAAAGCGUGGGGAGCAAAAGGG
rnacentral:rRNA from 1 species